rnacentral:lncRNA from 1 species
GCCUAUAAUCACCCAGCCCUAGAUUAGGUUCUGUUCACCUGUCUGGCCCAGCCUAUAAUCACCCAGCCCUAGAUUAGGUUCUGUUCACCUGUCUGGCCCAGCCUAUAAUCACCCAGCCCUAGAUUAGGUUCUGUUCGGUUCUGUUCACCUGUCUGGCCCAGCCUAUAAUCACCCAGAUUAGGUUAUGUUCGCCUGUCUGGCCCAGCCUAUAUCACCCAGAUUAGAUUAGGUUCUGUUCACCUGUCUGGCCCAGCCUAUAAUCACCCAGAUUAGAUUAGGUUCUGUUCACCUGUCUGGCCCAGCCUAUAAUCACCCAGAUUAGAUUAGGUUCUGUUCACCUGUCUGGCCCAGCCUAUAAUCACCCAGAUUAGAUUAGGUUCUGUUCACCUGUCUGGCCCAGCCUAUAAUCACCCAGAU